GAGGGUGUAGCUCAAGUGGUAGAGUGCAUGCUUAGCACGCACGAGGUCCUGGGUUCAGCCCCCAGGACCUCCA
rnacentral:tRNA from 1 species